rnacentral:rRNA from 1 species
GAGUUUGAUCGUGGCUCAGAUUGAACGCUGGCGGCAUGCCUUACACAUGCAAGUCGAACGGCAGCAUGAUCUAGCUUGCUAGAUUGAUGGCGAGUGGCGAACGGGUGAGUAAUACAUCGGAACGUGCCCUGUAGUGGGGGAGAACUAGUCGAGAGAUUAGCUAAUACCGCAUACGACCUGAGGGUGAAAGUGGGGGACCGCAAGGCCUCAUGCUAUAGGAGCGGCCGAUGUCUGAUUAGCUAGUUGGUGGGGUAAAGGCCCACCAAGGCGACGAUCAGUAGCUGGUCUGAGAGGACGAUCAGCCACACUGGGACUGAGACACGGCCCAGACUCCUACGGGAGGCAGCAGUGGGGAAUUUUGGACAAUGGGCGAAAGCCUGAUCCAGCAAUGCCGCGUGUGUGAAGAAGGCCUCGGUUGUAAG